rnacentral:rRNA from 1 species
GAUGAACGCUGGCGGCGUGCUUAACACAUGCAAGUCGAACGGAAAGGCCCAAGCUUGCUUGGGUACUCGAGUGGCGAACGGGUGAGUAACACGUGGGUGAUCUGCCCUGCACUUCGGGAUAAGCCUGGGAAACUGGGUCUAAUACCGGAUAGGACGAUGGUUUGGAUGCCAUUGUGGAAAGUUUUUUCGGUGUGGGAUGAGCUCGCGGCCUAUCAGCUUGUUGGUGGGGUAAUGGCCUACCAAGGCGUCGACGGGUAGCCGGCCUGAGAGGGUGUACGGCCACAUUGGGACUGAGAUACGGCCCAGCCUCCUACGGGGGGCGGCAGUGGGGAAUAUUGCACAAUGGGCGCAAGCCUGAUGCAGCGACGCCGCGUGGGGGAUGACGGCCUUCGGGUUGUAAACUCCUUUCGCUAGGGACGAAGCGUUUUUGUGACGGUACCUGGAGAAGAAGCACCGGCUAACUACGUGC